CACCCUCCUACACACACACUUUGACCCUUGUCCUGGCCCCCCGCCCUCACCUGGUCACUGAGUCCAGUUCACACAGAUAUGGGUGAAAGAGAGAACAGAAAGAACUGGCUUUGUCUCAAAAUCAAUCUGUUGUCGUUUUGUUUGUUCUCUAAUUCACCCACCGAGUGUCCAGUUACUGGAAAAUCCUGCGCAGCUCCAGAGCAAACACACAUUCAUACUUACUGUAAAUUACUACAUAUAUAUAAAUGCAAAUAAAGCUGGAGGACAGACUGUUUCAUGACUUCCAGACUUGGGAUUUGAAAGAAUUUCUCAUGUGAUGUCAUGGAUUUGAAAGCAGCAGGGAGUCUGAGACGUGAGACCAGGAGUUGGUCUGGAAGAGACCUGAAGGAGGAUGUUUGUUGCUCAAAGCUGACCCUGCACUGCUUUGUUCACUCUGGACCACCGAAAGGUUCUGCAGAGGAAAUCCAAGCCAGAAGCAUGAGGAGACGGUCAAGGGAUCGUGUUGUGGGAACCUCCAGGUAGACAGGAGCUUUGAGCAGGCUCUGAUGGAGGACGUGAUGAAUACGACUCAGGCGAGGUCGUGCUCCGAGGCAGAGCAGCUGAACUUUACUUUGUGCUCUUCAGUUAGUUGGGUGGCGACUGGUUUAUCACGGUGCAGGAAGUCGGUCCGCUUCCUCCUCCACAUCCUUUAACUGCACAGAUGACUGGCUUUCCUCAGAUCCUGGUGGCUGUGUGUGCGUGUGUGUGUGUGUGUGUGUGUGAGAGGACACACAAAUGAACAACAGAUCAAUGACAGCAGCAGGACUACAUGAGUCAGUGUGCAACAUGAUGUGGGUGUGACUGCAGACCUGCAGGAGGCUUACCUUCCAAAGAGCUGUUUAUUUAACUAAACCUGCCAACCUGAGCUCACAAUGGGACGGAAAUACCUAAAUAAAAAUAUAAAUUUAUAGAUAUAUUUAUAUUAUUUCAGGAAAACAACAACUUCAUCCAUUGAGAUGAUGAAGAUGAUAAAUAACUUUUAGUUUCAGAUUUUAAAACGUAUUUUGGUUUUUAAAAUGUGCAGAAAAGUCUUAUCGAAGGCGAUCCGAAGGACUUGAGAGCGACUCGUUGUUUGUUUUACAGGCAGAGAAGAAGAUCAAAUUUAAAGCAGUUUUGUAACGUAUUAAAUGACUCUUCUUUUAAACAUUCA